UUCUUCGGGAGAACCGCUCGGUUGCUUGCUGUCCGAGCGGCGCCUGCUCAUCACCACUGUUGCCAUGCCUGGAGGUCUGCUUCUCAGGGGCGUGGCUCCCAACUUUGAGGCCAAUACCACCGUCGGUCCCAUCUGUUUCCACGACUUUCUGGGAGACUCAUGGGUCAUUCUCUUCUCCCACCCUCGGGACUUUACCCCAGUGUGCACCACAGAGCUUGGCAGAGCUGCAAACUUUGCACCAGAAUUUGCCAAGAGGAAUGUUAAGUUGAUUGCCCUUUCAAUAAACAGUGUCGAGGACCAUCUUGCCUGGAGCAAGGAUAUCAAUGCUUACAAUGGUGAAGAACCCACAGAAAAAUUACCUUUUCCCAUAAUUGAUUAUAAGAAUUGGGACCUUGCCAUUCUGUUGGGCAUGCUGGAUCCAGCAGAGAAGGAUGAAAAGGGCAUGCCUGUGACAGUUCGUGUGGUGUUUGUUUUUGGUCCUGAUAAGAAGCUGAAACUGUCUAUCCUCUACCUAGCUCUACCCAGCAAAGUUCCAGGCAGGAACUUUGAUGACAUUCUCAGGGUAGUCAUCUCUCUCCAGCUGACAGCAGAAAAGAGGGUUGCCAUCCCAGUUGAUUGGAAGGAUGGGGAUAGUGUGAUGGUCCUUCCAACCAUCCCCGAAGAAGAAGCCAAAAAACUUUUCCCGAAAGGAGUCUUCACCAAAGUCUUCAUCUGGCAAGAAAUACCUCCGCUACACACCCCAGUCUUAAGACUCUUGGAGAAGUUGGUGCUGUGAGCCAGAGGAUGUCAGCUGCUAAUCAUGUUUUCCUGCAGCACUUCCAUAAAAACAUCCUGUUGUCAUCACAGCCAGGGUUUUUAGGUUGCUCUUCUAUUGGCUUAUUAAAUGAAAAUGG